ensembl:lncRNA
GAGGAAGGGAGAGUAUAUGUCUGUGUGUCUGACUUUACCUUUGAAACGGCGGACGGGCCCAUAAAGGAGACAGAGGACAUCCAACUCAUAAAACCCCAAAUAUUGAUGAGAGCGAGACGUGAGGCGGCGGGGCGGAGUAGAUGGAUUUCAAUAGGAGUUAAGUGUGAUGGAGGAAGAGUCCCGGACGAGGAGGAGGGACGCGUAGAGAGCAAGGAAGCGAGGCACCAAGAGCAACGAGAGAAAAAGAUGUUCUCCCCCAUCCAUACAAAUCAAGCUGUCUGUGUCGGCUGCGGCGAGUGCACCGCGCCGAAGCGACGGGCCUCAGUGCAGUCGGAGAAAGUCGUGUCAUCUUUGAACUCGGACUUGACGAUAGGGGAGCUCAGAGAAGAAAGGCCCGACUUGACUUCAAACGCGUCCCUGUUGUCUCCACCCCAUCUCAACUGCAAAGGAGGCGCAGCCCUGGAAAUCAACCCCCUAAGCCUCCUCACUAUUGUCUGUACUGCGACUAUGGAUUUGCCUCUUCCUCCCCUCCUCCAUCCUCCACUGUUCCUGUUUGCUCCUCUUUUUAUCUUGGGUAGAGCAUUUGAAUGUGCUAAUGCCUGUAGCUUUGGAGUGUGCAAUAGAUGUAGUUUAUAUCACUGUUAAUUAUUACUCAAACAAAAUUUCGGGCUCCAAUUUGUUCAGAUCACUGCAUGAAGAUAUGAAUUAAUAUUGCAGGGAUGUGAAUGAAUAAAACAGGCUUUUGUGAAUGCGGAGGGCGAAAAAAUGCAAACUAUGUAAAAUUACCUCAAUUAUAGAACAUUUAAAAAGCACCCGAGAGCAUGAUUAAAAAAAAUUCUUUUGUUCACUGUUGUCUACAGUUUAUGUGCUGGAGUUGCAUCAGUUUCCGGGGUUUUGCAUACAGUAUUUUUGCGUGUUUCAGGGUUUCUGCUUGAGAAAGAAAGAGAUGCAAUGAUGCAACCAGAGGAAAAAGAGGGUCAAGAAAG